rnacentral:snRNA from 8 species
CCAAAUGUGGAAAUCUCGAUUGCAUAAUUUCUGGUAGUGGGGACUGCGUUCGCGCUCUCCCCU